UAGCAAAUACAACAUAGCAAGUAAAGCAGGUUAGCUUGUGCAGUCUACUAUUUAAUAGUUGAUGGGAAAUGAGGUUAUAAAAUAUACUUGAUUUUUUCUAACCACAUAGACUAGGGGUGGACAAAAAGAAACGGUCGGAAGGUAAUCGUCCGAUCCAUGCUACCCGUUAGCUUUCGGUCGGGUCAAAAUCGGGUCAUCGGGUUACACGGAUGGUUCAGCCGGUUCUGGUAGAUUCAGUUUUAACCUUCAAUUUCAAUAUGAAGGUAAACUCAAUCAUAUCAGUAACUGAUGUUUAAUUAUUUUAGGGAUUUAGAUUUGUCCUAUAAUUUUUUUUUUUACUUUUUGAGAUGAUAUUCUAUUUUGAACUAAUAGUUGAUUAUUUUGUAUGUUAAUGUACCAUUUGUUACCCCUAAUACGUUUGUAAUGGUAAAGAUUUUUGGUUUGGUAUUUUUAUAUUGAUUUAUUUUUUUAACAAAUUAAUAUUUUUGUGUUAGUUGUGUUUCUUAGUACUACUAUUUGUUUGAGAUGAUGAAAUUUGGAUGUGUAGAUGGAUCUGAAAAGUUGAAUCUAGAUCUGUAGGAUCUGAAGUGGGAGUUGUUAAGUUGGAUCCGAAAACUGGAAAGUUGAAACUGAAUUUAUUUUGGAUCUGUACUAAAAGAAAAUCUAAAGUUAUGUUUAAUUUGUAAGUUGUGUCUUUGUUUUUUGUUUUUUUAGUUUCAAACUGAACUUUUGUAAUUUUUUUUGACUAUAUUUCUUUAAAUGUAGGUUUUAUGUUCUAAGUUCUGUAUACUGGUGUGAAGGUUUGAAGUUUUUGGAGUGAUUUGUAAUAAAAGUGUUUGCAAUUGUUGGUGUGGAAUUGUUCAUCUUUGCUUCCAAAGCAAAAGCAAAAUAAUUUUAAAUGUUUUACCAUUA